GCCUGCUUGGCCAAGUGGUAAGGCAUCGCACUCGUAAUGCGGGGAUCGAGGGUUCAAUUCCCUCAGGAGGCA
rnacentral:tRNA from 1 species